rnacentral:rRNA from 1 species
AGUGAACGCUGGCGGUAGGCCUAACACAUGCAAGUCGAACGGCAGCACAGUAAGAGCUUGCUCUUACGGGUGGCGAGUGGCGGACGGGUGAGGAAUACAUCGGAAUCUACUUUUUCGUGGGGGAUAACGUAGGGAAACUUACGCUAAUACCGCAUACGACCUACGGGUGAAAGCAGGGGAUCUUCGGACCUUGCGCGAUUGAAUGAGCCGAUGUCGGAUUAGCUAGUUGGCGGGGUAAAGGCCCACCAAGGCGACGAUCCGUAGCUGGUCUGAGAGGAUGAUCAGCCAAACUGGAACUGAGACACGGUCCAGACUCCUACGGGAGGCAGCAGUGGGGAAUAUUGGACAAGGGGCGCAAGCCUGAUCCAGCCAUACCGCGUGGGUGAAGAAGGCCUUCGGGUUGUAAAGCCCUUUUGUUGGGAAAGAAAAGCAGCAGGUUAAUACCCCGCUGUUCUGACGGUACCCAAAGAACAAGCACCGGCUAACUUCGU